AGAGUUUGAUCCUGGCUCAGAAGGAACGCUGGCAGCGUGCAUAACACAUGCAAGUCGAACGAUGAAGCAUUCUUCGGAAUGUGGAAGAGUGGCGAACGGGUGAGGAACACGUAAGAAUCUGCCCCUCGGUCGGGGACAACUCUUGGAAACGAGAGCUAAUACCCGAUACGCUGUGGAGUGAAAGAAUUUCGCCGAGGGAUGAUCUUGCGUCUGAUUAGCUAGUUGGUGUGGUAAUGGCACACCAAGGCGACGAUCAGUAGCUGGUCUGAGAGGAUGAACAGCCACAUUGGAACUGAGACACGGUCCAAACUCCUACGGGAGGCAGCAGUGGGGAAUUUUCCGCAAUGGACGAAAGUCUGACGGAGCGACGCUGCGUGAAGGAUGACGGCCUGCGGGUUGUAAACUUCUUUUCUCGAAGAAGAAGCUCUGACGGUAUUCGAGGAAUAAGCAUCGGCUAACUCCGUGCCAGCAGCCGCGGUAAUACGGAGGAUGCAAGUGUUAUUCGGAAUGAUUGGGCGUAAAGCGUCUGUAGGCUGUAUAGAAAGUCUUUUGUUAAAUGCCUCGGCUCAACCGAGAUCCAGCAAAGGAAACUUCUAUACUUGAGGGAAGUAGAGGUACAGGGAAUUCCCGGUGGAGCGGUGAAAUGCGUAGAUAUCGGGAGGAACACCAAUAUGGCGAAGGCACUGUACUGGGCUUUACCUGACGCUCAGAGACGAAAGCUAAAGGAGUGAUUAGGAUUAGAUACCCUAGUAAUUUUAGCCGUAAACGAUGGAAACUCACUGCCGAGCGAAAUACAACGAGCGGUGGUCAAGCUAACGCGUGAAGUUUCCCGCCUGGGGAUUACGCUUGCAAAAGUGAAACUCAAAGGAAUUGACGGGGACCCGCACAAGCGGUGGAGUAUGUGGUUUAAUUCGAUGCAAC
rnacentral:rRNA from 1 species